rnacentral:rRNA from 1 species
AUUGAACGCUGGCGGCAUGCUUUACACAUGCAAGUCGGACGAGUGGCGAACGGGUGAGUAACAUCUCGGAACGUACCGAGUACUGGGGGAUAACUAAUCGAAACAUUAGCUAAUACCGCAUAUUAUUCGAUCGGCCGAUAUCUGAUUAGCUGGUGGGUGGGGUAACGGCCUACCAAGGCGACGAUCAGUAGCGGGUCUGAGAGGAUGAUCAGCCACACUGGAACUGAGACACGGUCCAGACUCCUACGGGAGGCAGCAGUGGGGAAUAUUGGACAAUGGGCGCAAGCCUGAUCCAGCCAUGCCGCGUGUAUGAAGAAGGCCUUCGGGUUGUAAAGGACUUUUGUCAGGGAGGCGGUACCUGAAGAAUAAGCACCGGCUAACUACGUGCCAGCAGCCGCGGUAAUUC